GAACCUGAUUCUGAUACUUUUCAGGUUUGUUUCCUUUUAUCCCGUUAAUGUUUGCUUGCUCAGAAAAUGGGGAAAUGUGAGAUAGUAAAGCUAAAUCUUUUGCUUUCUGGUUCAAUUAUGAUGAGUUUUAAGUUUUUGGCUUUUUGGCUUUUUAAUUACUAGCUUAUGCAUAUUCCUAUUGCUUUAUAUUUUCUGGCGCUCCUCGUUAUCUUUCUCUCGUUAUAAAGGAAAAAAAAAAAGUUCUGAUUUUUGUUAUCACCAUUAUUUCCCUUCAAUCAAAUAUUCUUGCUCAAAUUGCGUAUCUCGUCUUAAUCUUGUGUGCUGCAGAUUGGAGAUUCU
rnacentral:misc_RNA from 1 species